rnacentral:ncRNA from 2 species
ACGCGCUGGCGGGACUCGGUGUAAUUCCGAACCGGCGGUGAUCCACGGCUUGGCCGUGGUAAGCCCGCGACCCGGGAGCGGUUCGUCCGCCCGGUGGACCUGGUGUAAAUCCGGGGCCGACGGUUGGAUGCGGGCAUGCCCGUAUCCAGACAGUCCGGAUGGGAGACAGCGCGC